rnacentral:misc_RNA from 1 species
CCAAGAGCCUUGCCUCUCGCCCGCACUUCCCUCGCACCACCGACACUAGCGAGCCAUGGCAUGCAACCAACACCUUCAAAAGCUCUAGAUGCGGGCGCAUGCACUGCCUCCUCCUAUUGACCCCACGCGAGCGUGUCUGCCGCAACCGCAAUGCCAUCACGACGACCGUCCUCGUCGUCGCCGUCUCCUUUGCCUCUGUCAGCGGGCACGGCGGCGGUCCAGGUCCCAGGCGGCGCCGCGAGCUGCCUCCCCGCGGACCAGUCCUGCCUCACGGUCUCGGUCUCCGUCGGUGCGCCCUACUCCUCGCGUCGUCGUCACGACACUGCCACCGACGCCGCUGUGGGCACGACACACGCUUGCUGCACCGCAGCCUCCUACAUCACCGUCCUCGGCAUCAGCUUCGGCUCCCUGCUCGCCAUCCUGCUCGUCAUGUGCGCCAUCCGGUGGUACCUCGUGCGGCGGUCCGCGAGCCGGGACGCUACCGCCGCGGCGGAACUAGAGAAGAAGCGGUCCAAGGGGCUGGGCGCCGACGCCAUCGCCGCGCUGCCAGAGUUCGUGUACCAGAAGGAGAAGGAUGCCAACGACGGGGAGGAGGAGGAGGAGCGGGAGCUCGAGUGCGCAGUGUGCCUGGGUGCAAUGGUGCACGGAGACGCGGCGCUACGGCUGCCCCCGUGCAUGCAUGUCUUCCACCGGGGCUGCGUCGACGUGUGGCUAAGGGAGCACUCGACGUGCCCAGUCUGCCGCGCCGAGGUGGUCGUCAGACCGGCGGCCAGCGAGGGCUGUGGCCAGAAGGGCCAGGAAGGCGGCCCGUCGCGCGCGUCCAUGUCGAUGGCAUGGACAUCACAGGGAAGGCUGGUAGACGACGCGGAGAGGGACCUAGAGGCGCAGCUGUAGCGUGUAUGACAGAGGUACAUGAUAGGAGUAGCUUUAUGUUGCUAUUGUUGUGUUUUUGGGAUUUUGGUUACGAAAAGUGAGUUAGUAAUAAUUUGGAAGAUUUGGCUGAAAUUUGUAGGAUAUAAAUGUAUAUGUAGUGUAGUAUUCUACCUAAGGGGUAUCGCAUAUUCACAUAUACCAUUUUUUGUGAGAAUAAAUCUCUACUAUGUUUAAG